AAUAUUAGGAGGAAAUCUGGAAAAUCAAGAGCUCAGUAAUGGUUUUAUCUUGGUUGUUGAAAUUAAAUCUAUUCCAACUUCUAUAGACAAUUUAGUAGUUCUUUAAAUAAUCUAAGAGCUUGGUUUUGUCUUUUUUCGUUAAACUUUCUUCCCAGUACUUCUUGUAUCCGGAGUUCAGCCAUUUGAUUACAAUAUUAUUGGAUUCUAUAAAUACAAAAGCAGGGACCGUUAAUACAACCAUAGUGAUGUUAAGCAACAAAUCAAAAUAGAUAUAUAUUACCAUGAUGCCGUGAAAGAUUUUUAGAGUUAUAAACGAUUCUAUGCAGGGAAAGAUUUUCAAAGUUAUAAAUGAUUCUAUCUAACCAGCAAAAAAAAUUAUAUACUAAUUGCUUUCAAUCAGAUGGAUUCUCCAAAUAAUCUGCCUUCCAUUUAGGCAUCUGAUCAUUCAAGAUCACUUUGACUUCACCCGUAAUUCAGUGACCAAUUGUCCACCCACCAACACCGCCCGGGAACAUCAAGGUCCAACUCUAGUGGACACAAUAUUUAAAAUGCUGCAGUUGACUAAAUAGACAAAAGAAAAUUAUUCUUGAAAUAACUCAAAAAAUUUAUCUUCCUUUGGCUCUUAUAGUUUCCAGAACCAACCUACCAUUUAUUUUCUCACAGAAAUUUUACGAACCCAUUUUGAUCCUAAACAUUUAGAGGUCAACCCACAAAGAAGGAACCCACUUGUCUGAAUUACCCUAAUAAUUCUACCUAUCCAUCAUCAUUAGAGUUCUUUUGCAUUCCAAACAAGGAAUCAAUUUGACAUCAAUGACUACGAGUUCCAAUGGGGACAAUUUGAGUUUGAUGUGAUUUUCCUACACAAAGUAACAAAUCCAGUCCUUGCUUCCUCAUCAUCUUAUAAUUAUCUAUUUGCUCAGUAACAAUUUUUUCAAGGCAUUAUCUGUGUGACACCUUACAACAGAGUUUUAAAUCUUCAACUGUGACAAAGAAGUGUAGGUGUAGGGGUUAAUGUCUCAUCUAAGGAAGCAUACAUCAAAGAAUAUUACUGUGCAUUUCCUGCACCAAGGUCAGGAGGCGUUGAUUUCAAAGCAACUCAUGUUGAUAAGAAAUUCAACUUUCGAAGACUCGAGCAACACUUCCCUCAAUGAGGAUUAGCCUUUGAAUAAUAUUCGACACAAAAUUAAACCUGCUAGCCAGGUUUAAAGAAAUAAAUAAAUAAAUAAAAGAACCAUCACCACUGAGAGCUGAGAAGGUUGGAGGAUAGGUUAUGAAAUAGAAGCAUCUUUCUCACUGCAAAGAUUUGAAAGACACGUGUUACCAAGUGGUGGUGUUAAAUUUUUCUGCAUUUUUUUUUUUUUUUAAACUUCUUCUCUCAAUAAUUACAUUAAAAGAUGCAGUUUUGCACAGAAAGGUCAUUGCCCAGUAUCCAAGGGUCUUAGCCAGCAAGUUAUUAACAAUAAAAGAUUUACUUCACGCAACUUCUUUCUGGUGCUCUCUGUAUCUAUUUUUUUUCCGUCAAUUAUUUUCCUCAUCAACCCAAACCUAGAGGCUCAUGCCCUCCAGGGCUUCAAAUAGUCUUUAAAUGCCAGUAGUAUAAAAGUGUAAGGAGUUGUGCGUCUCCAUAAAUGUCCUUAUACACACUAGUGAAUGGCAUAAAAUAUUUUCCGUUUGCGGAUUGAGCAAAAAAUGCAGACGCAUAGAGUUGUAUACAAGUUCUUUUAUGCUUUGAUAGAGUAGAAAAGCUCACUAACAAAGUUGUGGUGAUUUUAUUUUGUAAAGCUCUGAGUUGCUUCUCAUUUCCUCAAGGCCUAUAAAAUUUGGAGGAAGGCUCUUUAUUUUUGGCUAUUUUUAUGUGGAUGAUGGCUGUGAGCAAAUAAUUGGUGGGUGGUAUAAGUGAUGUCAUGUGAAGGCAAUUGAAGGUUAAGGUGAAUUUGAUACCUUACAUUCUUUUGCAUCUAUCAGUUGACGAAUGAUGUCUAGACUUACACUAAUGGUGGUGGUUAGAUUGCAACUGAGGUGGAUGGCCCACAAUGCUGGCAAGUGAUGCAGGUUAAUGGAAAGGGAUGCGAAAAAGUGGAGGCCUGAAGAAAGGUUAAAGUAAGAGAAGGAAAGCAAUUGGAAUAUGCUCAUAUAUGAAAGUUGGCAUAUUUAUAUCAUAAAAUAUUGGACCAGUGAACUAAAGAUAAAUGAGUAAGAUCAUACGAAAACUAUCACCAUAUGAGAAGAUAGAAAUAGAACAAAAGGAAAUGGAUUUCCCAUGUUUGGCAUGACAAUGAGACA